GUCUCGUUGUGGGUGAAAUUAACACAUUUGGAAAAUGCCAAAUUCCUAAAUCACUUUAACGAAUGUGCCCCUGUUUUUUCAUUUGUCACUUUGAUAAAUGAGCCUUGUUACACCCCCUUGGCUGUCAAUCAGAGAACUGGUCCUGUUACUUCCUGGCAUCAGCAUGCAGAGCACAUUAUAUUGGGUCAAGAAUAGGCAACCUUUGGUACUCCAGAUGUUGAGG